rnacentral:rRNA from 1 species
UACGGAGGGUGCAAGCGUUAUCCGGAUUCACUGGGUUUAAAGGGCGCGUAGGCGGUUCGUACAGUCAGACGUGAAAUUCCUGGGCUCAACCUGGGGGCUGCGUUUGAUACGUGCGGACUUGAGUGCGGAAGAGGGUCGUGGAAUUCCCAGUGUAGAGGUGAAAUUCGUAGAUAUUGGGAAGAACACCGGUGGCGAAGGCGGCGACCUGGUCCGAUACUGACGCUGAGGCGCGAAAGCGUGGGGAGCAAACAGG